rnacentral:tRNA from 1 species
ACUUAAGUUUUAAAGUGUUAGAUUUUUAAUCUAAAAAUGUUUUUCACAUCUUAUUAAUUUUU